rnacentral:rRNA from 1 species
UACAGAGGGUGCGAGCGUUAUUCGGAAUUACUGGGCGUAAAGCGUGCGUAGACGGUUAUUUAAGUCGGAUGUGAAAGCCCCGGGCUCAACCUGGGAAUUGCAUUCGAGACUGAAUAGCUAGGGUACGGUAGAGGGAAGCGGAAUUUCCGGUGUAGCGGUGAAAUGCGUAGAUAUCGGAAGGAACAUCAGUGGCGAAAGCGGCUUCCUGGACCAGUACCGACGUUCAGGCACGAAAGCGUGGGGAGCAAACAGG